UACGUAGGCAGCGAGCGUUGUUCGGAGUUACUGGGCGUAAAGGGGUGUGUAGGCGGUUCUCUAAGUUUGGUGUGAAAUCUCCCGGCUUAACCGGGAGGGUGCGCCGAAAACUGGGGGGCUAGAGUGCGGGAAGGGAGAGUGGAAUUCCUGGUGUAGCGGUGAAAUGCGUAGAUAUCAGGAGGAACACCGGUGGUGUAGACGGCUCUCUGGACCGUAACUGACGCUGAGACACGAAAGCGUGGGUAGCAAACAGG
rnacentral:rRNA from 1 species